rnacentral:rRNA from 1 species
UACAGAGGUCCCAAGCGUUGUUCGGAUUUAUUGGGCGUAAAGGGUGCGUAGGCGGUUGCCUAAGUCUGGUGUGAAAUCUCGGGGCUCAACCUCGAAACUGCACUGGAUACUGGGUAACUUGAGUACUGGAGGGGAGACUGGAAUUUACGGUGUAGCAGUGAAAUGCGUAGAUAUCGCAAGGAAGACCAGUGGCGAAGGCGAGUCUCUGGACAGUUACUGACGCUGAGGCACGAAGGCCAGGGGAGCAAACGGG